rnacentral:rRNA from 1 species
CCCGCUGAACUUAAGCAUAUCAAUAAGCGGAGGAAAAGAAACUAACAAGGAUUCCCCUAGUAACGGCGAGUGAAGCGGGAACAGCUCAAAUUUGAAACCUGGCGUCCUUAGGGCGUCCGGAUUGUAUUCUAGAGAAGCGUCUUCCACGCUGGUCCACGUAUAAGUGCCCUGGAACGGGCUGUCAUAGAGGGUGAGAAUCCCGUCCUUGACGUGGGCUACCAGUGUUUUUGUGAUGCGCUUUCUAAGAGUCGAGUUGUUUGGGAAUGCAGCUCAAAGUGGGUGGUAAAUUCCAUCUAAAGCUAAAUACUGGCCAGAGACCGAUAGCGCACAAGUAGAGUGAUCGAAAGAUGAAAAGCACUUUGAAAAGAGGGUUAAAUAGCACGUGAAAUUGUUGAAAGGGAAGCGUUUAUGACCAGACUUUUUCUAGGCAGAUCAUCCGGUGUUCUCACCGGUGCACUUUGCCUAGUUGAGGCCAGCAUCGGUUUCUAUAGAGGGAUAAAAACAGUGGGAAUGUGGCUCCUCCGGGAGUGUUAUAGCCCAUUGUAUAAUACCUUUACGGGGACCGAGGUUCGCGCUCUGCAAGGAUGCUGGCGUAAUGGUCAUCAACGACCCGUCUUGAAACACGG